UACGGGGGGGAGCAAGCGUUGUUCGGAUUUACUGGGCGUAAAGGGCGCGUAGGCGGCCACCGCAAGUCAGUUGUGAAAUCUCUGGGCUUAACCCAGAAAGGUCAACUGAUACUGCGGGGCUAGAGUGCAGAAGGGGCAACUGGAAUUCUCGGUGUAGCGGUGAAAUGCGUAGAUAUCGGGAGGAACACCUGUGGCGAAGGCGGCCCCCUGGUUGGAUACUGACGCUGAUACGCGAAAGCGUGGGGAGCAAACAGG
rnacentral:rRNA from 1 species